rnacentral:lncRNA from 1 species
AGGAAGCCAGUGCAGGCUCCGGCCUGUUCCUCCCUCCAUUUGGCACUUGUCAUCCUAGGUCCUUUUUGUUUUGAGACAAGAUCUUAUCCUGUGGCUCAGGCUGGCCUCAAACUCACUGUGUAGCCCAGGCUGGCCUCAAACUUCUGUCUCAGCCUCCCAAGUGCUGAGAUUAUAAGCAUGAGCCUUCAUGCUCUCAUCCUGAUUUCAAAGUGAGCUUAAAGAAAUGGGGAAAAUCCAUUCAUUAUGUAGUCUGAGCUGUAAUCAGAAUCCAAAUGAUCAAAUGAGAAAGCCACGUGCAUUUUCUAUGUACAAACCAAGAAAAAGGCCUUACUGUUAAUGCCGGUUUGGCAGAGAACUGACUCACGGGGCAGACUUUAUUAUACGUUCCCUGUACCAAAUGAUACUAUAAAUCACUUUGGCCUGUGGGAGCACUGUGUGGGAGCACUGUGCGCUACAGGUGCCCAUGCUCACUCCUUGGUGCUGUUGGCCCUCCUUACUGCACAGCCCCUCUACUGAAUUAGCCCCUCCCCCUCCCGACAACGAACACCUCACUUGCCUUCCCAUUCCUGUUGCAGCCAGGCCUCCCCACUUGUAUUGGGGUGCAGAUUUGGUUAUGUUUUUCAAAGAACUUUUUUCCUGAAACCCACACAGCCUUACUGUUCCUGCCUGGAUUCUACUUACAUUGUAAGUGGAAGGGAAAUGUAACUGGGUUUGUCGCUUUUCUUUUUGUUUUAGUCUAUACCUCAGUAUGUAGCCCAGGCUAGCCUUUGACUUGAAGUCUUCCUUACUCAGCCUUCCCAGUCUGCGAUCAUCGAGGGCAACGGCCACACCCAGCUUCUACUCACCUUAACAGCUAGUGGAUUGUGGCUCUUAAAAAGGCUUUGCUUUCUUGUUUGUUUGUUUUUUGCUUUAUUCUAUUUCCUGUCUGUAUUCUUUCAGCAAUUUUCUCCUUGUCAGCAUCACACUUAUUAAAGAGUUAGAAUAUAGGGCAAACAAAAAAAGCUAAAGUGACCUUAAAACUAGUACUUUCUUCUCUAUGAAGGAAAAAGUGCUUUUGUUUGUUUUUUCUCUUCCUGCCAUGUAGUUUCUGUCUAUGGAACAAAGACUCCUUCCCACUCCGUCCCCAUCUCCUCAAACCUUGAUAUUGCUUGAGUAAAGGAAGAGAAAACAACAGUUCUGUCAAGUCUGUGAGUUGUCUAGAUACAAGGUUGCCAGAGCUGCUAACCUUUGCGAUUACAUCCUGACCAAGGCUCAGUUCUCACAAGCAAGGCCGGUGCUCCGCCCCUGCUCCGCCCCUGCUCCGCCCUGCUCCACCCUGCUCCGCCCCGUUUCUCCUUCUCUGUCCCAGGUUUAGAGAGUACUUUGCAUAUGCCUGUGCUGUCUGGGGUGUGGUAACCUUUUUUUUAGACAGGGUCUUAUGUAGCCUCACUAUGUAGCCAAGGAUCCCCUGCCUCCACCUCCCGAGUACAGGGCUCACAGAUGCACCCACCAUACCUGCCGGCCAGCAACGGCUUCUCUCAGCUGUUCUCCCUCACGUGCCAAUCCUGAGCUCCCGUCUGCUUGUGUGUGCCAUCAAGGGCUCUGACUCUGUUCAUCUCAUCUGUCUUCUGAAGCAGGAUAUGUUAGGGCUGCAUCUAGGCAGUGGUUUUGUUUUUAUGUAUAUAAAAGUUGAUUAUGUGUCUUCUUUCUGUAAGUGGAAGCUUACAGUCCUAAUGUAAAGGACUUAAAGCCUCGCUGUCGCAUGUUAAGAUGCUUCCCUACUGUACAGAAUCCUGUAAAAUACAUAAUUACGUUGUAUAUCAGCCUUCCUACCAAUCUUAAUUAUUAAAGUAUUUUAGAAUAUC